rnacentral:rRNA from 1 species
GUGCACCAGGCGAGAAACUUCACAAUGUGCGAAAGCACGAUGAGGGAAUCCCAAGUGCUUGCACGUAAGUGUAAGCUGUUUCUCUGUCUAAAACGCAGAGAGAGUAAGGGCUGGGUAAGACGGGUGCCAGCCGCCGCGGUAAUACCUGCAGCUCGAGUGGUGACCGUUAUUAUUGGGCCUAAAACGUCCGUAGCCGGUUUAAUAAAUGCCUGGGUAAAUCGGACCGCUUAACGGUUCGAAUUCCGGGUAGACUGUUAAACUUGAGACCGGGAGAAGUUAGAGGUACUCCUGGGGUAGAGGUGAAAUUCUGUAAUCCUAGGGGGACCACCAGUGGCGAAGGCGUCUAACUAGAACGGGUCUGACGGUGAGGGACGAAGCCCUGGGGCGCAAACGGGAUUAGAUACCCGUGUAGU